GUGAUGUUUGUGUGCGUGAGAGUGAAGAGCUGCUCACACACUGCAGUCAAAGCGAGCGUGUGUUCAGCAGAGUCUGUCGCCUUCACGGCAGGUGUGUGUGUGCGUGUGCGCGUGCGUCUCUCUCUCUCUCUCUCUCUCUCUCUCUGUCUGUGUCUCUGUCUGUGGAUCUUCAUGGGCUCGGAUCGACGGCUUCUCUCGAGGAGACUCUCUGGAUGUAUGUGGAUUGGUCUGGCUCCAGUGUGUUUGGACGCUGAAGGCUCAGAUGGGAGCUCUGUGAGCAGAUCAUGCUGGAGACUGGGUUUCAGUCCAGUGGAGCUGUAUAUGACUUCUGGAGUAACAUAACUUGUGGAAUAAACUCGCUUUCCAGGACUGACAGAAGAAACAGCAGGAACCAAUGCUCCCUGUGUUCUCAUGUAACGUUAUAUUGUCAGUGGAGAUACUUCAUUACAGUUUUCUUCUGCAACAUGGGUCCACCCUGACUUCGCGUCGCGCUUCCUGAAGAAAGGAAAAGCCCUGAUGUGCUUGUCACCUGAGCUGACGGCCGGGGCUGCGUGAUGGAGGCCGAAUGUCUUCGCUCGGUCCCUCUUCAGACACUCAAAGGCCGCUCUGUUUCAGCCUGACGACGAGCCGAUUGGAUAUAAUCUUGAGCGGCGGACUCAGGAGAUGGGGAGGGAUAGGGAAACUCUACAGUAGGCUUUGCAGGGAAGGAUCGUCUUUCUCCAGAAGUAGGAAACGAGCGUCGGAGGGUUCCUGCUGCCAGUCGGCUCUCUCCUCCUGUUACGACACGGGACCAAAUUCAAACCAUGUGUCCUCGCACCCGGUUAGCUGCUUUUGCCCACCUCUAGCAUUAGCGGUCUGGACGGAUCCAUUUCACUGGCCCUCUCCCGUGCUGCGUUCUCAUUCUCCCAGCCCCAAAUGAGUCUCUCCGUGGGACUCCUGGCUUAAUAGGCUGGAACUUUCCCAUGUCCGGUCUCCGAAGGUGGCUGUUAUCCUCCGAGGGCCCCUGUGUGAGUUUCAAGCUCGGGCUCAUGUUAUGGGCUGGGCGAGGUGGAUACCAGGAUGUCAGAUGUAAAGCUUCACACAGAUUUUCACGGUAGGGUCUGAGCAGACUUAUGGAUGAGUGUGACAGCUGAUUUCUCCACAUCAUGGAUUGAUAUCUGGAGGUGCUCAUUUCAUAAGUGGAUUUCAGUUGUGUGGACUGCAUCUCACAGCAUCUGCUGUUUCCGUUUACCAUGCUUUGACUGCAGAUACUGGAUUACUCAGACUAUUUUCUACCUUUCCGUCAUUUGUUUUCUACUGCUUGGUCAGUACACUGUUCCAGUCAUGCUAAAAUAUACAAUACACAUAAACAGUAGUUAUGAUGUUGAAACUCUUGUUCACUGCACCCACUGUUAAACUUUUUUUUCCUUUUUUUUAACUAAAGUUUAUAUGCCAGGGACUAGAUCUUCUAGCUAUCUAAUAAAAUAUUGUUUUAACAUAAAUUGUGCUAAUAUUUCAAUAAUAUAGCAGUGUUGUUUUAUAAAGAGAUAAGGCAGAUAAGAGAUAAGAGAUGUUGUCACAAUCUAACGCGUCCUCUUGUACAAUAUUCCUUCCUUUUUAAUAUAUAAAUAUUUUUUUACUUGCAUGUAUAAUUGAUAUAUUUUUUUAAAUUGUCCUGAAUUUUUGCUUAAAUAAAAAAAAGUGGA